CCUCGGUAGCUUAGUUGGUAGAGCAACAGGGCGUAAACCUGAGAGACCUGGGUUCCAAUAUCCCAGCUCGAAGGG